rnacentral:rRNA from 1 species
AUUGAACGCUGGCGGCAUGCUUUACACAUGCAAGUCGAACGGUAACAGGCCGCAAGGUGCUGACGAGUGGCGAACGGGUGAGUAAUGCAUCGGAACGUGCCCAGUCGGGGGGGAUAACGCCGCGAAAGCUGCGCUAAUACCGCAUACGAUUUAUGGAUGAAAGCGGGGGACCGUAAGGCCUCGCGCGAUUGGAGCGGCCGAUGUCAGAUUAGGUAGUUGGUGGGGUAAAGGCUCACCAAGCCAACGAUCUGUAGCUGGUCUGAGAGGACGACCAGCCACACUGGGACUGAGACACGGCCCAGACUCCUACGGGAGGCAGCAGUGGGGAAUUUUGGACAAUGGGCGCAAGCCUGAUCCAGCAAUGCCGCGUGCAGGAAGAAGGCCUUCGGGUUGUAAGCUGCUUUUGUACGGAACGAAACGGUCCUGGUUAAUACCUGGGGCUAAUGACGGUACCGUAAGAAUAAGCACCGGCUAACUACGUGCCAGCAGCCGCAGUAAGAC